AUUAACGCUGGCGGUGUGUUUAAUACAUGCAAGUCGUGCGCCCAGCACAUUGUUUACAAUUUUUUGUAGAUAGUGUGCUGGGAGCGGCGGACGGGUGAGUAAUACGUUGGAAUCUACUCCAGAAUCAGGGAUAAGCCUUAGAAAUAGGGUCUAAUACCGGAUAGUCCCGAAAGGGUAAAGCAGUAAUGCGUUCUGGAAGGAGCCUGCGCUCUAUCAGCUUGUUGGUAAGGUAAUGGCUUACCAAGGCUAUGACGGAUAGCUGGUCUGAGAGGAUGAUCAGCCACAAUGGAACUGAGACACGGUCCAUACUCCUACGGGAGGCAGCAGUAAGGAAUCUUUCGCAAUGGGGGCAACCCUGACGAAGCAACACCGCGUGGAGGAUGAAGGCGUUUUCGUUGUAAACUCCUUUUCUGAGGGAAUAAUUCUGAAGGUACCUCAGGAAUAAGCAUCGGCUAACUACGU
rnacentral:rRNA from 1 species